CCUACGGGAGGCAGCAGUGAGGAAUAUUGGUCAAUGGACGAGAGUCUGAACCAGCCAAGUAGCGUGAAGGAUGACUGCCCUAUGGGUUGUAAACUUCUUUUAUAAGGGAAUAAAACGCGGCACGUGUGCCUUUUUGCAUGUACUCUAUGAAUAAGGAUCGGCUAACUCCGUGCCAGCAGCCGCGGUAAUACGGAGGAUCCGAGCGUUAUCCGGAUUUAUUGGGUGUAAAGGGAGCGUAGGUGGGUUGGUAAGUCAGUUGUGAAAGUUUUCGGCUCAACCGUAAAAUUGCAAUUGAUACUGGCAGGCUAGAGUACAGUUGAGGUAAGCGGAAUUCGUGGUGUAGCGGUGAAAUGCUUAGAUAUCACGAAGAACCCCGAUUGCGAAGGCAGCUUACUAAACUGUGACUGACAUUGAGGCUCGAAAGUGUGGGUAUCAAACAGGAUUAGAUACCCGGGUAGUC
rnacentral:rRNA from 1 species